AGAAUACUUCUGACAAUAUCAAUCACAGCAAACAAAUACUAAUGAAGAUUCAAGCUGAUCAAUUGAAAAACCAAUUCCCGAAGAUAAAGUUGCUCAAAUUCUUUAGUUGUCAGUUUGAGUCAAGUAUUUUAAAUUGUAACCUAUUUGUUUUUUGAUAAGUGUAUUUGUAGGUUAUUGCUGAAACUUCAUGUUUGUAUGCUUCCUAGACUAGAGUAUUAGGAAAGAGGUUGCUACAAUUAAGUUGAUUAUAUUGGUUAGGGAACUAAAGUUUGUCCCAUUGGUUAUAGAGUUAUAACCUAAAAACUGCUUUAUGAAGUUUUGUGGAGAUUUGAGAAAAAUUC
rnacentral:lncRNA from 1 species